AUGCCUACGGGGGGCAGCAGUGGGGGAUAUUGCACAAUGGGGGGAACCCUGAUGCAGCGACGCCGCGUGAGCGAUGGAGUACUUCGGUAUGUAAAGCUCUGUCAGCAGGGAAGAAAAUGACGGUACCUGACCAAGAAGCCCCGGCUAAAUACGUGCCAGCAGCCGCGGUAAUACGUAUGGGGCAAGCGUUAUCCGGAUUUACUGGGUGUAAAGGGAGCGUAGGCGGCAGGGCAAGCCUGAUGUGAAAGCCCGGGGCUCAACCCCGGGACUGCAUUGGGAACUGCCCUGCUGGAGUGCCGGAGGGG
rnacentral:rRNA from 1 species